AUUAAUUUGGACUAGAAGGAUGCAUCCCAUUUGAUACAUGAAGCUGUAGUUUACUCAUGUAAUGUAGACCCAUUCACAUACCUCACCCCUAAUAUUAUAAAGAGUCUUGACGUGUUCUAUGGGUUUGCAUGCAUUUACAUUACUAUUUAUUAAGACAUUUACUAAGGGACAGUACUACAGGGUAUUUGAAUGACAUUACAUUUUUCUGUGUUAGGGAGGCGUAAACCACCAGCAACACUCUCAAAACCAGAACGGCCUGAUGAAUAUAGUGCUACUGCAUCUCCAUGGUCAGUGACGGUUCCUUUGCCAGUAUCUCCAGAGUUGCUUGAAUUAUCUAUUAGCAAGACCACAUUGGCUUUGAGACCAGCGCAGGAAACCGUGUUCUGUCAGUCCCUCCUCCCAGUGACCACUGCACAGUCUACAACCUCUACUCCUCCCUCAGGACCCC